GGAGAUAUACCCUGGAAAGAUUUAUCUCUAAAAUUCGAGCUUAAGGAUGGGGCUGCGUCGGAUUAGGUUGUUGGCGGGGUAAUAGCCCACCCAAGCCAUAGAUCCGUAAGGGCUCUAAGCGGAGAAGCCCUGAGAGGGAAUCUGAGACACUAUUCCCACUCCUACGGGAGGCAGCAGCCAAGAGUUUUCUGCAAUGCACGAAAGUGUGACAGAGCGAACCGGAGUGCUAUUCAAUGAAUAGCUUUUGUGAAAACUAAAAAUUUUCUCGAAUAAGGACUGGGCAAGACUAGUGCCAGCCGCCGCGGUAAUACUAGCUGUCCGAGUCGCAGCCAUCUUUAUUAGGUCUAAAACAUCCGUAGCUUGCUUGAUAAGUUCUCUGUGAAAUUCUAUGCCUUAAACAUAGAGCGCGCAUGGAAUACUGUUGAGCUAGAGACAGGAAGACGUAAGGAGUACGUUCAAGGUAAUGGUAAAAUAUGUUAACCUUGAACGGACUAACAACAGCGAAGGCACCUUACGAGGACUGUUCUGACAGUGAGGGAUGAAGGCUAGGGGCGCAAAACGGAUUAGAUACCCGUGUAGUCCUAGCAGUAAACACUGCACACUAAACAUCAGCAUCUCCUCGAGAGGUGUUGGUGCUGAAGAGAAGCCGAA
rnacentral:rRNA from 1 species